UAUACUACGAUACCAUUUUCCUUUCAAUUUUUGAUCUUCUUCCCAUAAUGUUGUCCAUAAAUUUUUUAUCGAGUUAUUGAUAUAAUAAUAAUAAUCAGUCAUAGGAACCUACCACCGUACCACAUUUCUGACAUUAAGAGUGUUAAUCCCUUCAUAUGCAGCUUUGUCUGCUUUUUCGUUACCAGUAAUACCUUUAUGUGAGGGUACCCACAUAAAGGCAACAGUUAUAUCUUUUUUAUGCAACCGCAAGACAGUAUCUUUAAUUAAAUAAAUAAUAUAAUUAGUUUUAAAAUUAUUAAUGUAAGAAUGCUUAAGGCUAUUUAAAAGACUCAAAGAGUCUGUCAAAAUUAGAAAAUAUUUACAAUUAUUUAUAGAAAUUAUAGAUUUUAAAGCGGCAAAAACUGCAUAUGCCUCUGCUGUAAAUAUGGAGCACUUUUUAUCGAGAGCAAAGCUUUCAGCAACAUCUUUUUGGGAAUCAUAUACCGCACUUCUCACAAAAUCAUUGCCUUUACUGCCAUCAGUGUAGAUUGUAUAAUACUUGUUAUUUUCUUCUAUAAAAUCCAGUAAAUCUGAAUUAUUUUCGAUUGAAUUUGAUAAAAUCGUAAUAGGAUGAGUGAUACAACUGUAUGAAUGGGUGUAACACGACCAGUGUGAAAGUUUUUUGAUGUUCGAAUAAUGAGAUUGUAUUUCUAAGAAGAUCUGGCACAGAGUUGGAGAUGUACCUCUCAGGAGAUCAUUUGGUGAAGUGAGUGGACCAUCUAUAUUGAUUGGAUGAGAUCCGAUAUGAGAGAAAUGAAGCUAUCAACACAACUUCUUCCUCUGCGAAAUCCAUAUUGAAUGUGUGGAAUGACAUUAUUGGAUUCUGCAUACCAGUCAAGUCGAGAUUUCACCAUAUUUUCAAAUAUUUUUCCAAUACAUGAUGAUAACGAGAUUGGACGAUAAGAAACCAGGACUAGUAUUUCUUCUAGAUUGUAUACUCGUUAAAAGUUCAGACCAUGAAAAAGAAUCCAAUAAAAAUUUAGAUUGAGGAUUUUCAUUGUUAAUAUUAAAAUAAUUGUCUAAUGAAUUUGGGUCAAGUAAAUUGUUACUAUCUGAUAACUUAUCUAAAAGUGGCUCUACAAAUUCAUCCCUAUAUGAUUUAUUACCAAUUCUGAUACCCUUAAACUUUUUAAUGAGAUUCCAAAUUUUACUGAUGGGUGUAGUUCUAUUGAAACUAUUGCAAAAACCAUUCCAACUGAUUCUUUUUUGCUCCUUUAUAGUGCGUUUUUUUAAAGCAUCUAAUCUUUUAUAGUUGAUGUAAUUAUAUUCUGUUGAAUCAUUUCUAUACAAUUUCAAGGCUUUGUAAGAUUGUAUUACGGCUUGUUCACAUAUACUGUUCCACCAAGGGGCUGGUGGUCUACUCCUAAAGUUAGUCCUAGUGAAUCUAGGAACUGCCAUGAGUUUGAGUUUAUUGAGCCGGUUACAAAACUCAUCAUAAGAUUUUAUUGGACUCUCUUCGCUAACCAUCAUGUCAUGGAAGACCAAACCAGACAAUUCACUAUACUUUGUCCAAUCUGUUUUAUCAUAUAAAAAUCUGUCAACAUGUUUAUUAAUUGUGUAUCUUUCAAUGCACAUUGUAAUGUUUGUUAUGGUUGGAUAAUGAUAACUACCCAUAGCAUCAUCAUGUACUGACCAUUCACAAAGAGGAGCCAUACAUGGACUAACAAAGCUUACAUCUAUUGCUGAGGGGUUGCGUGUAGGAUAAUUUACUGUAGUAAAGCUACCAUUAUUAUUAAAAUACAUAAGUCACAUUCAUCAAUUAUAUUAUAUAAGUUAUUCCCUCGACUUUUCGUAGACAUACAUCCAAAAGCAAUAUGAUGUGCAUUGAAAUCACCACUUACAAAAAGAGGCUUCGGUAAUUUUCUUAUAAUAUUGUGCAAUCUAUUCAUUCUUAUACUCCUACGUGACGGAGGACAGUACACACAAAGAAUAGACAGUGUAGUAUUUUCUGUGUCUAUACUUAUGGCUAUAGUUUGUAUAUCUUCAUAAAAAGUAGUAUUUAUAACAUUGUGUUUCAAAUAUGGAUUAAUUAAUAUUCCUACACCAUUACGAGGAUUUUUUGAAUUUUUAUUGUGGAAAUUAUAACCGGAAAUAUAAAAAGAUUGAUGGUCUUUUAACCAUGUCUCAUUUAGUAAACAAAUAUCAAUAUUAUUUUCAUUUAAUAAUUUUGUAAGAAGAUGUUUUUUUAUGAUUUACACCUUGAACAUUAAAUUGCGCAAUACGUGGAGACGAUGUUGUAUAUGGUUGUGUAUCCAUUAUAUUGACAAACUUUUAAUAAGUAUAUCUUUAAUAAAUGUUGUAGUUAUAGGCUCAUUAUCAUUCUUAUUACCUAUUUGAACCAGUGUUUGUACCAGGGCCAUAAGUACAUCACUGUUUGCAAUUAUUUGUGAUUUUAUAUCAUUAAUACUUACAGCCUGUGAGACAGGCUUAAUAUUUACAGAUUUAUUUACAUGUUUGGGUGCAUUAUUUACACUAAUCACUUUUUUAUUUACAGGGUUGGAGCGUGGUGGAAGGGGAGGGAACUCAUUGUUAUCUUUUGUGCUGGCAAUGCUUGCAUAUGUUAUUUUAUUUUUCUUUUCUAGGAUUUUAUUCAUUUUUAUUGGACACAUUUUGGAUAUUGCUAAAUGAGGUCCACUGCAAUUUACACAGCAAAUCUCAUUUUGUUUAUUGCAGUCUUUAUAAGAAUGUUCACCUGAACAAAUAGAGCAACGCUGUUUGCCAUUACAAAUUUUAGCAUAAUGAUUAAAUUUCAUACAUUUGAAACAUUGUUGGAGAGGAGGUAUAUAUUCAAACACUCGGUAAAAAAAUAAAUCAUAUUGGACACUCUCAGGUAAAGAGUUUGCCAAAAAUGUGAUACUAACAGUUUGUGUUCCGACUAAUUCAUUGCCAAUUUUUUUCAUAAAUCUCCUAACUGCAAUUAUUUCAUUUGUAGAAGUUAAUUUAGUAAAUAGUUCUUUAUUUGAUAUACUUGCAGGCACAAAUCUGAUAAUACCAGUUUUUUCAAUUUGAGCUGCUGGAAUGUAUGCUUUCAUAUCAUGUUUCUCAAGAAAAUGUAUAUUGUGUAUCAAGUUAUUAGCUGUAUUAUGUUGUUUAAAUAUGACAACAAUUUUAUUUGCGCUCAUUCGCCUUAUUGCCACCACGCCUUUAAUUUCAGAGAAUAUGUGGUUUAAAUAUAUUGGGCUUUUAUUUCCCAGCCUGUCCUGAAUAUUUUUGUUUUCAAUAAAAACCUUAAAUUCCAUAUUAAUAGAAUUUUCAGGAUAUAGUCUUUUAUAAUUAGGCUUGAGAUAUGGGAUAUACGAGUCUUUCUCACCGCCUCCGCCGCCAGCAUCAGAAACAUUUUGGGGAUCUUCGAGCCGCCGUCGUGGUCUCUUUUUUGAGUUGGGCGGGUCAAGCCCGCCCCCCUCGUUUCCUUCCAUUUUUAUUAUUUAUACACUAUGUUUAUAUUUAAUUUGUCUAUUAAUACUGUUAUUUACAAAGAAAUAAUCUUUAUUUUCAUUAAAGUAUUAUUUUAGAAAAAAAUAGUACCGCGCUUUUUCAAUUUCCCGCCAAGAAAAAAGCAUAACAGUUAUUAAUAUGCAGACAAAAUUAGACGUGCAAAAAAGGUAGACUUUAUACAUUAUGACUAUAGUCGACGCAUUUUAAACUGAGUCGUUGGGCAAUAGAAUCAUGUCCUGACAGUAGAAAUGUGUACGCAAUGCAACCCGUUAUCGAUACUUAGCUACCUGCGCACGCGGGGUCGUACAUUAUUACGCUUCGUUACGCAAUACGCACAGCGGAGGAUUUAUUUUCUAACGUGGUGUUGAUAAAAAUUAAUGGUGACAUCAACGCUCAAGCUUCGUGUUAAUGUUUUUAGAAGAAUUGAAAACUGACUUCGAAAAAAAAGUUGGCCUAAAUUUCAAUAGUUCACGAGAACUUGCAGCACUGAUUUGUGAGUUAGUGCAGCGACCUUUAUCGAUUUGCACAGGUUUACAAUGGUUACGCACAUCACUUUCAUAAGACCUGUAAGUGCGAGCGAGACAGACAGAUAAAUAUGAUUUCUGACCCGAAGCCUCAGUUCAUAAUACGUCGAAUAUAAAUAUUAUAAUAUUCGCCUUGGAAUUCCAGCAUUGCUGAAUAACAGCAAUUUUUUGUAAAUGUUGCUUGAAUUGUUUGUAAUUGGAAAUCAGUGGUGGAAUGUUCUAUGUUUUUUUCUCAGCCGCAAAACAGCAAGCAUCGUAGGCGUCUGUCUACCAGAAUCUCUCAGAGCAUGAUGGAGAAGAGUCAUGCUGAAGAGCGGCUGACGGGUGUGGAACGUGAGUUCAGCUCAAGUAGCUCUCUACACCGACGGGACUUGGAAACUAUUGCCGAACAACAAGCUGUUGUCGACCGGCUAUGGCAGAGUCAGCUAUCUGAAAUGAGUUUUAAUGAUGCUCAAUGCACCGAGACUAAGGAACGUCUACGCACUCUACAAAGGUCGCGCCGAUGACUUGGCCGCGAGGCUACAACGCUGUAACUUCCGCUAUACACCGCCACAACCGAACUUCGACUCUAAUAGAGUUGCUGGCACGGACUGCAGACUGAUCGACGUCGUCCAUGACAAAUACUGUACUGCACUUGAGACUGCGGCUGGUGGAAGAGCAAGACAGACAAGGUCCAAUUGGCCCUGGAUCUUGUGAAGUUCCCUGAGCGAGUCCGAGCAGCUAUGCAAUGGGUGUUCGGUGGGACACUAGUAUGCGCUGACCUUGAAACAGCCAAGCGCGUAACGUUCCACCCGCGAGUGCGUACGCGCUGUGUGACGCUUGACGGCGACGUGUUCGACCCGGCUGGUACACUUUCUGGUUGCGCGAGAGCUAAGGGUGGUUCGGUUCUGGUGAUGCUAAGCGAGUUAUAGCAACUGGAGCAGCAGUUGCAGCAGUUGGAAUCUGAGCAGACGCAAUGCAGCGACAACCUCGCUGGCAUGCAGGCAGCAGCUGACAAAUAUGCGGCGCUGCAGCAAAAGUUAGAGAUGUCUCGACACUCGUUAGAAGUUGCAAAGUCUCGUGUAGCGGCCACUGCGCACGCGCAACUUCACGACGAGAUCGAGUCUUAGUCUCAGGUGAAAGAGCCGAGUGCAGCGUUAGAGCGAGACAAGAAUGAACAGAAUGAAGCCGCCGCCCAAGCAAAGGAACUUGAGGGAAAGAGAGAAUAAGAAAGCAGAACAGGCUUUGAAGAAGGCAAAACAGGAAGCAGAGCGUCACAAUAGUUUAUGGAAGCAGCAGGAACAAGAGUUUGAGACUUUGCGUCUAGAGAUCCAAGAGUUGGAAAAUGCCGUGAAUACUGCUGAGGCGCAGCUGAAAGAAACCACAGAGAAUACUGCAGACCUGGCACAGGCAUUGGAACAAGCCCAGAACGAUCACACUGGGGCCUCUUCCUGUAUUUAUGUACACCAGUUGAACAAAUGAAGGCAUCAAAAGGGAGUUUCAAAGCAUGGGUUGAGAAGAAUGUCCCUAAGCUUCAACCAGACUACAACCCCAAUCAUGGCUAUGAGCCGUAUUGGCCUGGAGGUCACUGGCUUUAUUUGGACAAAGAACUUGGCCCUUGGUGAGACCACAACCAAAACCCCCUUCUUUGCGGAGAAGAAUGCAACUAUUUAUAUACACGGGUUGGCAAGGUAUGUGCUAGAACGGUGGAUAACAAAGAGUACCAGCAAUGUGUGUCGAUAUUCGGUCUUUGUCUUGGUUGGUGGAACGAUCAAUUCUAUCGAGGAUUCUAUACCUUUGAUACCUACUGCAAAUUUUUAGAUGCUCAAUGCAGGACUGAAUACAGCAAACCUUCGUAUUUCCCUUAGAUAACGUACUAAUGGAAGUCAUAGUAUUAUCUCAGAUGAAUUAACGAAUGGCACUUUGUAAACAUGACUAAAUUAGAGUUUCCUGGCUUAUUCAACAGUUAAAGUUCAGCUUUCAGUGAGAUAAUAUAGAAACUUGCGCAUUACAUACAGGCCAAUUAAUGCUUUUGUGAAGCUUUCAUUUAGCUUUGAUUUAGCUAUUCUUAUUAUAUCUAUAUUAUUUAGAAUAUUCUUAGUGAUUGUCUUUCAGAGAACUGUUUCGAUUAGAUAUCAACGAUUUCCAGACAUAAUUUAUUUGCAACAAUUUUUUUUUACAAUUCACAACAAUUGGCAUUAUCUAUUUCACGGCAAUAGCCAUGGUUAAUUUGAUAAGAAUAAAAAAGCUGUUUAAUUAAUACGUGUGAAUUUUCUAUUCAUAGUAAUUUUAAUUGUUUCCUCUCAUUAUGUACCUUACCUUAUUAGUACCUUAAAUGACUGGGAAAAUAAAUUUUUCGAUCGAAUCGCUUUUUUUAAUGAAAUGAAAUUUAAUUGUCUGACAUAGUUUGUUUAC